rnacentral:rRNA from 1 species
GACGAACGCUGGCGGCGUGCUUAACACAUGCAAGUCGAACGGAAAGGCCCUGCUUUUGUGGGUUGCUCGAGUGGGGAACGGGUGAGUAACACGUGAGUAACCUGCCCUUGACUUUGGGAUAACUUCAGGAAACUGGGGCUAAUACCGGAUAGGAGCUCCUGCUGCAUGGUGUGGGUUGGAAAGUUUCGGCGGUGGGGGAUGGACUCGCGGCUUAUCAGCUUGUUUGUGGGGUAGUGGCUUACCAAGGCUUUGACGGGUAGGCGGCCUGAGAGGGUUACCGGCCACCUUGGGACUGAGAUACGGCCCAGACUCCUACGGGCGGCAGCAGUGGGGAAUAUUGCACAAUGGGCGGAAGCCUGAUGCAGCAACGCCGCGUGCGGGAUGACGGCCUUCGGGUUGUAAACCGCUUUCGCCUGUGACGAAGCGUGAGUGACGGUAAUGGGUAAAGAAGCACCGGCUAACUACGUG